UGGGAGCUCUCCCAUAUGGUCGACCUGCAGGCGGCCGCGAAUUCACUAGUGAUUAGAGUUUGAUCAUGGCUCAGAUUGAACGCUGGCGGCAGGCCUAACACAUGCAAGUCGAGCGGUAGAGAGGUGCUUGCACCUCUUGAGAGCGGCGGACGGGUGAGUAAUGCCUAGGAAUCUGCCUGGUAGUGGGGGAUAACGCUCGGAAACGGACGCUAAUACCGCAUACGUCCUACGGGAGAAAGCAGGGGACCUUCGGGCCUUGCGCUAUCAGAUGAGCCUAGGUCGGAUUAGCUAGUUGGUGGGGUAAUGGCUCACCAAGGCGACGAUCCGUAACUGGUCUGAGAGGAUGAUCAGUCACACUGGAACUGAGACACGGUCCAGACUCCUACGGGAGGCAGCAGUGGGGAAUAUUGGACAAUGGGCGAAAGCCUGAUCCAGCCAUGCCGCGUGUGUGAAGAAGGUCUUCGGAUUGUAAAGCACUUUAAGUUGGGAGGAAGGGCAUUAACCUAAUACGUUAGUGUUUUGACGUUACCGACAGAAUAAGCACCGGCUAACUCUGUGCCAGCAGCCGCGGUAAUACGAAUCGA
rnacentral:rRNA from 1 species